GGGCGCGGUCGGCCAUGGCGUUGGGGUCGCCGCCGACGCCGUUGGCGCCGCGGGCGGGAUGGUCAGCAGCAAUGAUCAUCGCCUUGCCGUGCUCGCC
rnacentral:tRNA from 1 species